AUUGAACGCUGGCGGCAGGCCUAACACAUGCAAGUCGAGCGGAGCGGGGGACGGGUGAGUAAUGCCUAGGAAUCUGCCUGGGAGUGGGGGAUAACGUCCGGAAACGGGCGCUAAUACCGCAUACUAUCAGAUGAGCCUAGGUUGGAUUAGCUAGUUGGUGGGGUAAAGGCCUACCAAGACGACGAUCCGUAACUGGUCUGGGAGGAUGAUCAGUCACACUGGAACUGAGACACGGUCCAGACUCCGACUGGAGGCAGCAGUGGGGAAUAUUGGACAAUGGGCGAAAGCCUGAUCCAGCCAUGCCGCGUGUGUGAAGAAGGUCUUCGGAUUGUAAAGCACUUGAAGUUGGGAGGCGUGACCAGCAGAAUAAGCACCGGCUAACUUCGUGCCAGCCGCCGCGGUAAUUC
rnacentral:rRNA from 1 species